ensembl:lncRNA
ACCCUCACUUGUUCUUUCACAAGAACUUACUUGCCUCUAACAUAAGGAAAUGACUUAAAGCUCUGGAAUCUGUUUUGCAAGAAUGUCAAUGGUAUUCGAAAUCAAGAGUGCCUACUUGGAUUCCAAGGACCAUGUUAAUGAUUUCACUCACAUCUUCCCUUAGUAAUUUGCACAAGGGUGCUGCAAAGUGUUAUCCCCGGUGUACACAUGAGGUAGUGGUUCAAGACCAGAGAUUUGUACCAGGGACCUUAGUAGGUGACAGGGCCUGGAUUGAAAACCCAGUGCUUUGCUGCUUCCACUACCUGUUUGCCAAAUGAGAAUCUCCUGAGUCACUCAUGACGCCAGCUCCAGGCCCCUCCCCAUAGAGAUUCCAGUCAGUGGACCAAGGUGGAGCUCAAGAUAAGUGUCUGGGCUGCUGCUUAGCAUGAGGCAGGUUUACACCUCAGGACACCAUGCUGCUGCUUUACCACCCUAACCUAGAGGCAUUUAUCAGCUCAGUAUGUUUCAGUUGGCUUGUCUUGGUCUUCGGAUGAAAGCUGAGUCCUGUUUCAGAGAGACUGACAGAGCUCCCAGGCCACAGCAGUCUGCAAAAACAUUCUCGAGUAACCUAUAGAGAAGACCUGCUGCUGCUAAGUCGCUUCAGUCGUGUCCGACUCUGUGCGACCCCAUAGAUGGCAGCCCACCAGAACGUGUAAAAGCCAAGCUGAGAAAGGACCUUCUGCCAAAAUACCACAUUACCCAUCAAUGUCCCCUCCUACCCUCUAAGUCUCCAUAAGCAACAGGGGAAUGACAAGGUUUGAACAGAAUCCAGUGGGACCUGGGAUACCUGCAAGUGACUGAUUCCCUUGGAGGGAUGUGAAAGCAGUUUCUCCUCCCAGUGGUGUGAACGUCUGUACUGUUGUUAGACUGGAGGGGCACUGGGAAGGUCGCGUGGCUCUGCCCACACCACUGUGAAAUGGCUGGCUUGCAAAAAUUACUGGGAAGUGCAGCAGCAAGACUGGCCUUAUCCCUGGGGAGUCACCUACUUAAUCUGACAAGAGUCUUACUAAUUAACUCAGCAUGGCAAACACGAAGGUCCCCCUUCAGGAAUGAAGGAUUUAUUUUCCUAGCUGCAGGAAAUGCUGACAGGAAACAGCUCUUGGCUGUAAGCCCUUUGGAAAGCAAUUUGACACCAAGGUCACAUCUCCUUUCAUGGGCAGUCCACAUCCAAAGACUGAUGAUAUGGAGUAUAAAGACCUGGUCCCCUUGUCCCAAAUCAAGAGAACUCUGAAGGGUCAUCCGAGCUUCUAAACUCCCUGUAGGGCUGACUGAGCCCUCCGUUGAGACUGCUGCAGCUCAAUUGUCCCCACCUCUUCUUUUUCCUCCCUCCCCUCUUCCUUCCUGUGGAUCCCAAAGGUUCUCUCUGAUAAGCCUGUGUGUGUUCAGUUGCUCAGUCAGACUCUGCGACCCCCAAGGACUGUACACUGCCAGACUCUGUCCGUGGGGAUUCUCGAUUCUCCAAGCAAUACUGGAGUGGGUUGCCACACCCUCCUCCUCCAGGCGAUCUUCCCAACCCAGGGAUCAAACCCAGGUCUCCCGCAUUGCAGGCAGAUUCUUUACCUUCUGAGCCACCAGGGAAGCUCCUGCCACCUGCGCCUUCCUGAGCCCACCUGGGACCAGAAUUCCUAGCCCAGCCCCGGCUGCUCCCUCAGGCACUCUCUCCUCCACUCGCCUGUUUCUCUACAAUGUCUGACCUUUAAUCCUGUCCACCUGGGCUUUGCCCUCUGCCUGCUGACUUGGGCCACCUGCCAUCCUGGUUGCCACAAAAAUCCUGUCCUCCUGUCUGUGAACCGGUUUGACAGCUGAGGUAAGGCUGGGAGUGGGGAGGAUCGCGGCGCUUCUACUGCCAGGCCAUGCCUCCAUCUAUAGCAUCAGCUCUGGGAAGCACUUAAUCACAAGGCAUGGCUUCUUCCUCCGGCAUGGACGAGAAGCCACUGAAGCCGUGAGCAUCUACCUCUCCCGGCUUAGUGCUGACCCUGCCACUGGCUGGCACUUCAGACCUGCAUUCAUGUGAAAUGCUGUGCUCAAGACUUCAGCUCGUGGCCAUGUGCAGAGACGCCUCCACCCACACGUACACCAUGAUUCAAGAUGGCACCAGUAAGCCACAUGCAGAGACGUGCACCCAGGCACUGCGAGAGCUCCAGUGGGUUCUGGGAGAGCACAGCUGCACCAGACUUGUCAGAGCUCUCUCCCCUCUCUGCUGACAAGAUCCUUAUAAAACAGCCCUGCUGCUGCUAAGUCGCUUCAGUUGUGUCCGACUCUGCAACCCCAUAGACGGCAGCCCACCAGGCUCCCCUGUCCCUGGGAUUCUCCAGGCAAGAAUACUGGAGUGGGUUGCCAUUGCCUUCUCCAAUGCAUGAAAGUGAAAAGUGAAAGUGAAGUCGCUCAGUCGUGUCCAACUCCUAGCGACCCCAUGGACUGCAGCCUACCAGGCUCCUCCAUCCAUGGGAUUUUCCAGGCAAGAGUACUGGAGUGGGGUGCCAUCGCCUUCUCCGUAUAAAACAGCCCUACUGAAGGCCUUUCAGGAAGAUCUUGUACCCAGGAGUACUAGCGAACAACUCUCCAUUCUUUGUUCAAAGACUAAAGC